rnacentral:rRNA from 1 species
UACAGGGGGGGCAAGCGUUGUUCGGAAUUACUGGGCGUAAAGGGCUCGUAGGUGGCCAACUAAGUCAGACGUGAAAUCCCUCAGCUUAACUGGGGAACUGCGUCUGAUACUGGAUGGCUUGAGUUUGGGAGAGGGAUGCGGAAUUCCAGGUGUAGCGGUGAAAUGCGUAGAUAUCUGGAGGAACACCGAUGGCGAAGGCAGCCCCCUGGGCUAACACUGACGCUCAUGCACGAAAGCGUGGGGAGCAAACAGG